rnacentral:rRNA from 1 species
UACAGAGGUGGCAAGCGUUGUUCGGAAUUACUGGGCGUAAAGGGCGCGUAGGCGGCCAUCUAAGUCAGACGUGAAAUCCCCAGGCUUAACCUGGGAACUGCGUCUGAUACUGGAUGGCUUGAAUUCGGGAGAGGGAUGCAGAAUUCCAGGUGUAGCGGUGAAAUGCGUAGAUAUCAGGAGGAACACCGGUGGUGUAAACGGCUUUCUGGACCGUAACUGACGCUGAGGCACGAAAGCGUGGGUAGCAAACAGG